CUCUGGCUGUGUCAUCGCGGGGACCUUCGUGCGUAGCCCUUUUUUAUCUGUUUUCUGCCUCUCUCUCCCUUUCUCUUCUCUCCCCCCCUCCGUCGGUAUGUGGGCUGAUCACUGCUCAAACUUUUAAUUCAGAUGGUAAUUGGAAUAAUAAUACGGGCAGAAUCCUUCUGGCUCUGUUGCUGCAGCUGGCUUCGGGGAGCUAUGAAUAGCUCUGAGUCACACACUGAGAGGCUUCAACUUCAGAUCAUUUUGUUUUGUUUUCAUAUUACCCGUGCCCGGGGCUGCACAGGGGGGAAAUAUCCCCUCACUCGCUCCACCCUGAAAUGCAAACAGGACAGAGGGACAUCCAUGUCACCCAAUGGGGGAGCAGGGGUCAGCUCACCGUGGUUGCGGGCGCACGGGGACUGCUGGCACCCACCCGAUCUAUUUAUAAUUAUUGAGGGAAAAGGCAGCAGCGUGUCUAUAUAAAUGGCACAGAGCUCCCUCCCUUCACCUGCCCCAUGCCAUGUGCCUUUUGCUCUCCUGCAUAGCUCCAACGCCCUCGCUAAUGAGAUCUAGGGUUAAUGAGGGGCACCAAGCUCACAUGUUAGCCUACAUGUUAGCCCACAUGCAGGGGCUCGGGGAGGGAUGGGGGAUGCUUGCAGGUGUGCAGCUCUGCCUGAGCCUGGGAGUCCCUGUACUCAAGGCAUCCCCAUAAAAAGGGGUCUCCGUACUAAGAGCUUCUCAUACCAAGGGGGUCCGGUAUCAAAGGGGUCCCAAUACACAAGGGGACCCCACACCCAAAACAUCCAUAUACCUAAGAAGUCCCCAUACCCAAGCGAUCCCCAUGCCCAAGGUGUCUCGUGCUCACAGGGUCCCUAUCCCAAGUGGUCCCAUGCCAAGAGGUCCGCAUACCCAAGGGGUCUCCACACCAAAGGAUCUCCAUACCAAGGGGUCCUUAUGCCCAAGGCUAAGGAACGAAGGCCCCUCAGAGCCACAGUGACCACAGACAGGAGGGAAGCAUUCGCCAGACAGCUCUGGAUAAAGCCAAGAGUAAAAAUACCAUGGGAUUUUUCCAUCGCUGUCGUUGUUGUUUGCGGUGUACAUCCCCGGAGCGCCAGAUACGGUUGUUAUAAAAAGAGAAGUGGGGGAGUGCUUCGGCAUGGAGUUGUCUGUUCUACUUCACAAGGCCGCUCUGCUGCAGAUUCGAAGCAGAUCUUUAUACCCAGACUAAAUCUCUCUUUUAAUUUGAAGCCAUUUCCCCUUGUCCUGUCCCAACAGACCCUGUUAAAGAGUCUGCCCCCUUCUUUCUCAUCGCCCCCCCCUUUAGAUACUGAAAGGCCCGUGUCGCAGGCAGGGCUGUGCUGGGAAGCAGCAGGUGGGUUUAUUUCCAUCCACCCUCGGCUGGUUGCCGUUCCCUCCGAAGCCGUGGCCGGCGGCAUGACGAGCGCUGCGCUCUGCCAGCUGGCAGCAGGGGAUGGAGCGGGCGGCAGCAGCGCAGCGCGGCCCCGUCUGCGGCCAACCCGCCCGGGCCGAUGCCCUGCCCAGAGUGCUGCCGCGGUGCUGCCGGAGGAGUGGAGGCAGCGAGUGGAGCCCACAGGUCCCCGCCAGCCGGCCACAAAUCCGUCACCCAGGCACAUGCCCAGGAGCAAUGGUGAUGAUGGCAUGGGUCUCAGCUUGUCAGAGGUGAAAGCUAGAGCUGCCAGGUCCCACACGAGCACGGCUGCAUGAGAUCCCACGCUCGCCCAGCUCCUGUGGCCCCCAACACCUGAUGAUACAGCAAGCCAUGGGCAGCGUCCGAGUCAACCGGUACAGCAUUGUCUCGACUGAGGAGGAUGGACACAAGGUCUCUGCGCUGGGCAGCAUGAACGGGCACAGCCGGAACGGGAAGGGCCACACACCGCGGCGGAAGCACCGUAACCGCUUUGUGAAGAAGAACGGCCAAUGCAAUGUCUACUUCGCCAACCUGAGCAACAAGUCUCAGCGCUACAUGGCUGACAUCUUCACCACCUGUGUGGACACGCGCUGGCGGUACAUGCUGAUGAUCUUCUCCGCCGCCUUCCUGGUCUCUUGGCUCUUCUUUGGUUUCCUCUUCUGGUGCAUUGCUUUCUUCCACGGUGACCUCAACGCACCGGUGGUGGGGGGCAGUCCCUCUCUCCUCAAGCCUUGCAUCAUGCACGUGAACAGCUUUCUAGGGGCUUUCCUCUUCUCAGUGGAGACGCAGACAACCAUUGGGUAUGGCUUCCGCUGCGUGACUGAGGAGUGUCCGCUGGCCAUCAUGGCUGUGGUGGUCCAGUCCAUUGUGGGCUGUGUUAUUGACUCCUUCAUGAUUGGCACCAUCAUGGCCAAGAUGGCGAGGCCCAAGAAGCGGGCCCAGACCCUCCUCUUCAGUCACCACGCAGUCAUCUCGGUGCGGGAUGGCAAACUGUGCCUCAUGUGGCGAGUGGGCAACCUGAGGAGGAGCCACAUCGUGGAGGCCCACGUUCGUGCCCAGCUCAUCAAACCCUACAUGACAGAGGAAGGGGAGUACCUCCCCCUGGACCAGCGGGACCUCAAUGUGGGCUAUGAUGUGGGUCUCGAUCGUAUAUUUUUGGUCUCACCCAUUAUUAUUGUUCAUGAGAUUGAUGAGGAGAGCCCACUCUAUGGGAUUGGCAAGGAGGAGCUGGAGACGGAGAACUUUGAGAUCGUUGUUAUCCUGGAAGGGAUGGUGGAAGCCACGGCCAUGACCACACAGGCACGGAGCUCUUACCUCGCCAGUGAAAUCCUCUGGGGUCACCGCUUUGAACCAGUAGUGUUUGAGGAGAAGAACCACUACAAAGUGGAUUAUUCCCGUUUUCACAAGACCUAUGAGGUAGCUGGCACACCCUGCUGCUCAGCUCGGGAGCUGCAAGAAAGCAAGAUGACUAUCCUACCUUCUCCCCCACCUCCCAGUGCCUUCUGCUAUGAGAACGAGCUGGCUCUUGUCAGUCAAGACGAAGAUGAAGAUGAUGACGAAGUGGGUGUAGCGUUAGGUGGCAGCACCAAGGAAGAGGGAGGCGUCAUCCAGAUGAUGGAUUUUGGAAGCCACCUGGACCUGGAGCGGCUCCAGGCCACUUUGCCCUUGGAUACCAUCUCAUACCGCAGGGAGUCAGCCAUCUAAUCCCUCCAGCCUCCCCGUUCUACACCCAUUACCCAUCCCCUCCUCCUCCUCCUCUGUUCUGCACCCAAACAUAGCUGGAUAAGUCCCUUGCCCACCAAAAAAUGCCUCCUGUGACCACCUCUCAGCACCUGAGUACGUCGAGGCCUGGAGAUACUCUGAUAUAUUCCCUUUCCCAUGAAGUUGUACCCCCUGGAUGAGGAGUGAGAAUACACCAUUCUUCCAGACAGCGCAGCUUGCUCGAGGACCUGCCCAGGGACAAGAAAGAAGCAUGGUUGAAUUCCCACUUCUGGGGAGGUGACAGGAGCCUGUGCCCUCAAUGGAGAGACUGUACCUGCUCAAGUGGUUCUGCGGCUGAGACAACAGCACUUUCUGUCUCUCUCAACAUGUGCAGACCCAUGGCUAUCAAUAGAAAUGGCUCUCACAAGGAGAGGAGUGAUGCUUAAGUCCUGACUCAGUGAGAAGGGACAGGAGAGUUUAGGACUCCUAGAGGGAGUGGGAGAGUCUCUGGAGAUAGGGGUUUGCUUGCAUGUUUAUUGCUUGUUGCACUUGACUUUCUUUGUAUAUAAAAAAGAUCUAGAACUGAAAUCCAUAUUCUUCCACUGUAAAUGCCAAGCUGGGAGAGAAGGACACUGCACGUAGCCCGCUCUGCACUCUCCUUGUGGCACCCAUCACCUCCAGCAGCAGCUCAGCCCCACAGCCCCACAGACUCAGCCCUGGAUCCCCUACUCCUCCCCAGACCACGUUCUGCUUCUUUCCUGGAGCGCCUGGCAGCAGGCAGGGCCCUGUGCUCACACACCCAGCCACCGUGCCAGGGCUGGCAGGCAGUGACCUGAUGGGACAGCAGGCCCCUCGUUUGCUCCUUCCACCUCCUCCAGUCUUCUCCCUGCUGCCAUCAGCUGUAAAACGGAAUUUGUAUCUAUUUAUUUUUAAUAAAGUCUAAUAUCCCAGGGGGAGGUUUGGAAACAAAGGAGACCCCGAGGCUGCAGCCUGGUGCAGAGACUGAUGAGUGUUAUUAGUGCUGGUGUUUGCUGUUUGUAUGGGUUUGAUGCCUGGAGGCUUCACCUUUGGUACUUCAGAGCCAGAGCUAGACUUAACACCACUUCUCUGUUGUUUCACAGAAGACAGCAAACCUUGCUUUCAGAGCUGGGUGCCUGUCGCUGGUCAUGGCAGUGGAAACAAACUAAUGGACCGAGAGGAAAGGACUCUGCAUGUGAGGAUGUGAGGACACAGGCAACCAGAACACAGACUGAGCUGGUGGCCCCAAAGAAGGGAGCGUGGCUGGACACUGGACACCCCUCACCAAGGUGCAGCACCCUUUAGAGGUGAGUGGGGAUUAUGUACUACGACUCUAGUUCCUAAGAGUCUGGUCUGUGAGGAGAUGCACUCCAUGAGGACAUCUAGGGGAGAUUUCUCCCACUUUGCCAAUGCACAAAGGUAUGUGUAUCCUUCAGUGCAUGUGCUUCUGCACCUGCAUGCUCCAAUCACAAAGUACUCAUGCCUGAAUAUCCACUGAAUGUACCUACAUACAUAUGUCAUAUAUGCAGGCAUAAGCCAUCCUACGCCACUCAAUAAACCAUAAACACUCAGUGAUGUGCACACAAACUUUGUGCACCAGCAGCACUCAUCUCAACAAGCGUAUGUACAAUUGGAUGUUGGGGACUCCUUUACGUGACCCAAGAAAAAUCACCAAGAGAGAAGGUUGGAUAUUUAGGAACAAUUUCUUCUCAGAAGAAGCAGUGCUGCAGCGGCACAGGCUGCCCAGGGAGGUGAUGCAGUCACCAUCCCUGGAGGUGUUCCAGAGCCGUGUGGAUGUGGCACUGAGGGACGUGGGCAGUGGGCAUGGUGAGGAUGGGCUGGAGGUUGGACCAGGUGAUCUUAGAGGUCCUUGCCAACCUUGAUGAAUCCACUGUGGAAAGCUGCCACGAGGAAGACUGGACAUUGCUAGGUGGGUCUGCAAAUCAGCUCUACAAGCCAGAAAUACUGAUGGGAUUUUGACCAGGCUACAGCUGCGUAUGAUAUGUGAAGCAUCACCUUCCCUGUAGGUGAUGCAUCUGGUCCAGAGAAGACACCUCCCUUCUGCAGGACCUGAUGGACAGAACGACUAUGCAGCACUUGUUGAGAUUUGGCUUCUGUUGAAAACUAUUCCAACAUCAAAAAUCUAACAGAGAGAGAACGGACUUUUUGCCCUAUGAAUAGGAUCCAGGCACUGGCUCAGAUCCGGCACCCCAUGACAGCUAACUAUACUGCUUUCACUCCUGCCAGCUUCCAACUGAACAUUGUCGUUGUUUUUGAUGACACUUGAGAGACUUGUUUCAUGUUUUAUUUUUGGUGACACUUUCAGCCAACCCUUUUGAAAAGAGACCAUCAUUGGCACCUUUCAGCUCACCCAAAAUUUGCUCAGCAAAACAUUUUGAUACACGCUGCGGCUAAAAAUAUGUUCAAGGAACAUGAUAAUAAGGGAGAAAAUGGGUUUGGAUUUCUGUGAUCAGGAAUUCAUGUUGAUAACAUUUGUGCUUCCAAACAAAAGUGCUUUUUUGCAACC